rnacentral:rRNA from 1 species
UGGGGAAUUUUGGACAAUGGGGGAAACCCUGAUCCAGCCAUCCCGCGUGUGCGAUGAAGGCCUUCGGGUUGUAAAGCACUUUUGGCAGGAAAGAAACGUCGCGGGUUAAUACCCCGCGGAACUGACGGUACCUGCAGAAUAAGCACCGGCUAACUACGUGCCAGCAGCCGCGGUAAUACGUAGGGUGCAAGCGUUAAUCGGAAUUACUGGGCGUAAAGCGUGCGCAGGCGGUUCGGAAAGAAAGAUGUGAAAUCCCAGAGCUUAACUUUGGAACUGCAUUUUUAACUACCGGGCUAGAGUGUGUCAGAGGGAGGUGGAAUUCCGCGUGUAGCAGUGAAAUGCGUAGAUAUGCGGAGGAACACCGAUGGCGAAGGCAGCCUCCUGGGAUAACACUGACGCUCAUGCACGAAAGCGUGGGGAGCAAACAGGAUUAGAUACCCUGGUAGUCCACGCCCUAAACGAUGUCAACUAGCUGUUGGGGUCUUCGGACCUUGGUAGCGCAGCUAACGCGUGAAGUUGACCGCCUGGGGAGUACGGUCGCAAGAUUAAAACUCAAAUGAAUUGAC